ensembl:lncRNA
CGGACUGCACAAUACCCAGCAGUGGACACUGAUUCAAGAAGAGGACAGUAAAGAUCUUACCACCAAACCCCUGCAGUCUCUUACACCAUGAAUAUGGAGCAGCUAUGGCAUGAGAAAAAUUAUCAAUCUCACUGAUCUCAACAAACAUGGGAGAGCGUAUGAGGAUGGAAGCGGUGCAGGUCCUAAUCCAGGAACAUGUCAUCUCCUGUCUGGACUUCUGCAACUCGCUGUUGGCUGGGCUCCCUGCUUGAGCCAUCAAACCCCUGCAACUUAUCCAGAAUGCUGCAGCCUGCCUGGUCGAAGCUUGCAUCCACUCCAAGACCAUGGUGCUUACCUACGGAGCAGCAAGAGGAACGACCCCUCCCUACCUUCAGGACCCCUGUCAAGCCCCCAGUCCUUAGCAUGACCUCCAGACCCCUGUCCAGCCCCUAUCCCAGACCCUCAAU